GCGUCGAGUCAAGUUUAGAGUUGGAGAGCGCAAGUCAGCCAUAGAAAAGCACUCUCCCUCAAAGCCCUCAAUCAUUGAAUGGCCUAUUCAAAAACUAGUACUUUUACUUGAAGGUGUUUGAUGAGAUAAAGACUCCUAUCAGACCUAAUAUUGAUCCGUUACAUUGUGACCUAAAUCAAGUUUGUUGCCAUCAGUAAAAUCAUAUAUGGUUAUUUGUUGGUCUUUGUUUUGUUUAAUCAUAUUAUGAUUUGGUGGGAGUUUUAGUGGCCAGUUGAGUAAAUUGAAUGAACCAUUCAUGUUCUGGGGUGAUCCACAAGCUGAUUACCUGUGCUGAUUGCCACACCUGUGUUGGUUUGCCAUACUUACCUGGGCGAUCACACAGAGAGGAGGUUAUGUGGAGUAGAGCAGAGAAGCAGAUUUGUGGCCUUCAUUGUCAUUGAAGAGUUUGCACCCUUGGUAGGCGGAGCGAGUUUCACAGUGCUUGAAGAUGCAAUAAAGUUUGCACCGGUUGAACUCUACGCUGUCUCAUUGAUGCUAAGGGCUGCUACAAUGUUCUUUGUCUUGCUCAAUUUUUUUUUUUUUUAUAAACUGUGCAAGGCAUGGUUGUGUUUUUAUACCAUGACAGGUAAUUGUCAGUUUGAACUCUUUGAUUUUUCUGUGUUACACAUUAGGACCCUCACCAAACGUUUCUCCUGGUGAACAUUGGUUAGGUGUCUUAGUAAUAGAGUUUUAAGCAUGACUGCAGUCCUAAGAGGGUCCUGCAUUAAGAGGUUCUUCGUACUCCAAAGACACUAGCGGCCUCAAAUAUACACUGUGAAACAGUUGGGAAGAAAAUUGGCACCUCCAAAUCUUAGACCAUGGUUAUAGUUGAAAAAAGGUGGCGUGCCCUCUCUUGGUUAGGGAUGAGAUCCUGCCCCAAGUGGAGGAUUUCUAGUAGUAGGAGUUCCUCUCUAGGAGUCUCGUACAUGAGUGAGGGAAGAAUGGAGCGAGAGAUCGACGGCCAGAUCGGUGCAGUGUCUGCAGUUAUGUGGACCUUUGUAUUGAUCUGUUCUGCUAAAGGAGGAGCCCAGCUGAUAGGUGACGCUCUCUUUUUACCGGUCCAUCUAUGUUCUUACCCUCAUCUAUGGUUACGAGCUCUGGAUGGCAACUGAAAGGACAAGGUCCCGGGUACAAGCAGCCGAAAUGAGUUUCUUCCGCAUAUUGUCCGGGCUCUACAUUCGAGAUAAAAUCAGAAGCUCGGUCAUCUGGACGGUGCUCAGAUUAGAGCAACUGCUCCCCCA